AAACGACCUCAGUUCGGGCGAGAUCACCCGCUAAACUUAAGCAUAUCGCUAAGCGGAGGAAAAGAAACUAACAAGGAUUCCCUUAGUAGCGGCGAGCGAACAGGGAAAAGCCCAGCGCCGAAUCCCACGGUCCGAGAGGACCGAUCGGGAAAUGUGGCGUUAAGGAGGAUCCGCAAGCCCCGGAGUCGCGCGAGGCGAGUCCAAGUCCUUCUUGAAAGAGGCCGAUCCACCCGUAGAGGGUGCCAGGCCCGUAGGACCGCUUCCCGACGACGGGUCGGAUCUCUCCCUAGAGUCGGGUUGCUCGGGAUUGCAGCCCUAAGCAGGUGGUAAACUCCAUCUAAGGCUAAAUACCACCACGAGACCGAUAGCGAACAAGUACCGCGAGGGAAAGUUGAAAAGAACUUUGAAGAGAGAGUUCAAGAGUACGUGAAACCGUUCAGGGGUGAACCUGAGAAACCCGAAAGGUCGAAAGCCGAGAUACAGCGUUCGUCCGCGUCGUCGAUCGAAAGAUGUUCGUAAAUUUUUCGAGGCGCGACGCGGCGACGUGCACUUUUCGGCGAGUAGGACGUCGCGACCCGUUGGGUCAGUAGCCGACGCAUAAUGGGGAUGCGCGGGAAGCUCGGAAGGACGAAACGGGCCGUGCGCUCGUCCAGUUCUCCGAACCCGUUCGUGUCCUCUCGGCGUUCGGCACGCCCGACGCGACGUAAAUAUCAACGAACCGACCGGCGGAGCGCUUAAGAGCGCGCCCGUCCCGUCGUCGUUCGACGAAUGUCGUUCGGUACCGGCAGAUUCGGCGGCCUAGCGUCGUCGACUCCGGGAAAGACGCGUUCCGACGCGACGGUGUUCUCGGGCGUCUCGCAACCGCCGUCGGUCUGCGACGCUAUUGCUUUGGGUAAUCUCAGGACCCGUCUUGAAACACGGACCAAGGAGUCCAACGUGCGCGCGAGUCAAUGGGCGAAUUUUAUAAACCCAAAGGCGAAGCGAAAGCGAAGGUCGGAUUGCGCGUUUCGGCGCGCCGUCCGUCCGUUGGGAGGAUGGGCGACCGUCUCAAAAGGAAAAGGUCGCUCCGCACUCCCGGGGCGUCUCGCCUCGGUAUCGGAGCGUGUCGUCGAUGCGGUUUCGGCCGUAUCGCGCCCUUCGGUACCGGAGACGCACCUCUAGCGCGCACGCUGGGACCCGAAAGAUGGUGAACUAUGCCUGGUCAGGACGAAGUCAGGGGAAACCCUGAUGGAGGUCCGCAGCGAUUCUGACGUGCAAAUCGAUCGUCAGAACUGGGUAUAGGGGCGAAAGACCAAUCGAACCGUCUAGUAGCUGGUUCCCUCCGAAGUUUCCCUCAGGAUAGCUGGCGCUCGCAUCGAGAGAGUCUCAUGCGGUAAAGCGAAUGAUUAGAGCGAAUCGGGGUCGAAACGACCUCUACCUAUUCUCAAACUUUAAAUGUGUGAGAUCUCCGGCUUGCCCGAUUAACGAAGCCGCGAGAUCGGAUCUAGAGUGCCAAGUGGGCCAAUUUUGGUAAGCAGAACUGGCGCUGUGGGAUGAACCAAACGUAAAGUUAAAGCGCCCAAAUCGACGCUCAUGGGAAACCAUGAAAGGCGUUGGUAACUCAGGACAGCAGGACGGUGACCAUGGAAGUCGGAAUCCGCUAAGGAGUGUGUAACAACUCACCUGCCGAAGUUACCAGCCCUGAAAAUGGAUGGCGCUUAAGCGUCGUGCUUAUACUUUGCCGUUGGCGGCAUGCGAAAAGCGACCGCGCAAGCGGUCGUGCAAACAGAGGCCCCGACGAGUAGGGGGGUCGCGACGGUGAGCGCAGAAGGACCGGGCGUGAGCCCGUCUGGAGCCGCCGUCGGCGCAGAUCUUGGUGGUAGUAGCAAAUACUUCAGCGAGCACCUGGAGGACUGAGGUGGAGAAGGGUUUCGUGUGAACAGCAGUUGCACACGAGUCAGUCGAUCCUAAGCCGCUAGGCGAAAGCCGAUGCUGAUGGGGCGCCGACGAAAGUCUUUCGAGCUCUUACGUCUUCCGUCGUCGUCGUCGUCCGCCUUCGUCGUCCGCCGUUGUGUCGCGUCGUUGUCUCGUAGUUGUUUGUUUGUUGUUGUGUGUCCGUAACAUAUGUGUGUGUUUUAAAACAUGUGUAAAGCAACAGCAACAGCAGCUUGCGCAGCAGCGACGGCCGCACACGCGAACGGGUGACGCUCUCGAGUUGGACACGCGCGUCGACCGCGAUUCAGACUGAGAACUUUUUACGAAACAGGUCGCGCCCCUAGGGCGAAAGGGAAUGCGGUUCCUAUUCCGCAACCCGGCAACGGAACCGCCAUUAUUCGGGCCCUCAUUGAGAGUUCGUCUGGGUAACCUAACACGACCCGGAGACGCCGUCGGGAGGUCCGGGAAGAGUUUUCUUUUCUGCAUGAGCGUUCGAGAUCCAUGGAAGCCCAUAGCGGGGAGAUAUGGUUCGGAACGCGAAGAGCACUGCAAUUGCUGCAGUGUCCGGAUCGUCCCCUCGGACCUU
rnacentral:rRNA from 1 species